rnacentral:rRNA from 1 species
UACGGGGGGGUAAGCGUUGUUCGGAAUUACUGGGCGUAAAGGGCUCGUAGGCGGCCAACUAAGUCAGACGUGAAAUCCCUCAGCUUAACUGGGGAACUGCGUCUGAUACUGGAUGGCUUGGAUUCGGGAGAGGAAUGCGGAAUUCCAGGUGUAGCGGUGAAAUGCGUAGAUAUCUGGAGGAACACCGGUGGCGAAGGCGGCAUUCUGGACCGACAUUGACGCUGAGGCACGAAAGCCAGGGAGCAAACGGG